GCUGGGUAGUAGUAGAUGGUGCAUUGCAUGUUGAGUGGCAAGGGGAAAAUUGAUCCCAUCAUAGCCUAUCAUUAGAUAAAAUUCUAUACAAUGCAAUGCACCAUCUACUACUACCCAGCACAUCCAAGGAAGUCAUUGAGAUGUGAUGACCUUGCUCGUAAACCAUAAUUAUACAUUGGUGACACAAACUAUAGUGACUAAAAAGCUCGGCUGGUAUUCCCUCUCUCCAUGCAUAUGCUCAAUUCUGGUCAGGAAAAUCUCAAAAACUGGUUAAGAAGAUUAGUCUCUUUAAGCAUGAGGUUUUGCUGAGGCAUGAAACUCUAACCUGAACGAUAUAUUUAUGUAUGCUUAUCGAUCACCACAACAUCUAGCACCAUUUCCUUCUUGAAGUUUCUGCCAUAGACAAAGCAUCUCACUCGGACCUUGGUAGUGGGCAACAGUAUAACCAUCCUUGCACCCUUCAUUAUAGAUCCUUUCAUUGUUCUCAUACCUAACUUUUAAACCAUCCUUUUUCAUCUGGUUUAUCCAGAUGCCCAUUGCCACAUCUUCUAGCUUAAAAAUCUUCAAAUGACCUUCUU
rnacentral:misc_RNA from 1 species